GGUGAAUUGACAAUCAAAAGUACAAUUUUUGGGGACAAAAUGAUUAAUAAGAUUAUUCACUGAAGUGAGAAUUAUUGGAAAUUCAAAGUGAAUUUUAGAUUAAAGACCAAAAUAACCAAGCAUUUUUCCAGUUUUACUACUUGGCCUUCAAUUUGAAAUUCACUUUGAAUGCCUGAUAAUUCUUUAGUGAAUAAUGCUGUUAAAUGGAUUUACAGCAGAUUAGAGAAGAUUUAUAUUCUAUUUUAUGUUUUGGGUGUACAUUUGCUUCUUAAAACCUGAAUUCUGAAUUGCUGGAUAGAGACAUUCAAAAGGCAAAGUAACAUAUUAAAGAAAAACUCUCUGUGGUGUAUAGGACAGCAGCCAA